rnacentral:lncRNA from 1 species
UUGACCAUGUAACCCCAAAUUUGGUAUUAUAUUUUAAAAAUCAAUAUAAAUAUAUUAUUAAAUGAAUUGGCAAGCUUGGAUUGAGGAUUUUAGGAAGAAAGACAAAUAUCUAUAUGAAUAUGAUCAGAUGAAUUGGCAAGCUUGAGUUAGGUUCAGAACGAACGAAAAAUAGACAAUGGAAUGAUCAUAUGGAAUUUGCAGGCCCGGCUGAAGAGGGGAGUUGUUGAGGAAUUAUGGUAUUAUUCUCAUGCCUAGGACGUGUUGGAUAAUAUGCCCACGAAGGAACGUGCAUCCCACCUGAUGUGUUGCAUCAGCUCUAUGAUUUGCCAAGCAAAAGCAAUCAAUCAACAAGGUCAGUUUGUGAAUGUUUGUCCUACACGAGUCAUAGCUAGUGAACACAUUUUGAGAUUCCUUCACUAAAUAUGUAUUGUUUUGAUUCAAUAUAGUGAGCACAAGCCCAGUGUUUAUUUAAUCAAUUACAAUUAGUUUUUCUAGCUACUAACUUUUUUGCAAUUUUCUAAAUAAAAAUAUACGUGACAGAAUCUGAUUAUUUAUUGUUGAAUGAACGAUGUGGUAGAACAAAGGAAUUGUAGAAUUUCUUGAGUUUUAGACAUAAAACAGAGUCAGGCCAUAGAACGCAUGUAUGAAGAAAUUAUCAUCUUCCGAUGAUUGAAAAUUAUCAUCACAUUUAUAGUAAUGAUGCUGUGCUUUAUUCAAAAUUAUUUCUUCCAAUAGAGAAGCAAUCAAUAAUGGUAUUAAUUCUUGAACCAGUGGAAAGCAAUUAAUUUUCUUCAUUUGUUUUCUUGCUUGGCUGUGAAACAGCCCAUUUGCGGCUGAACACAGAAUCUGUUUUUUGUUUCUUUGUUGUUUUUUGUGAAUAUUUGGCUUAAUUUACAAUUCAUGGCAUGUCUGAAAAUGGGUCGAUGAAUCUGUUAAAAUAUGGACUCAGAUCUAAAUCAGAUUUAUCCAUGAUACAAUCAAGAGGUGUUAAGAGUGCAAUUUAUGCACUAGUUUUGCAUUGUUUACUUCCCUUAAUAUCGAUAUUUUGCACUUAAUAAUAGUGAUUUACUUGUGUUUUACUUUUGUAGGUACAAUUCUAUUGAUUGGUGAUAAAAUUGAGCUACAAGAUGAUGUUUAAGGAUGAUUGUUCUCUUGGAGAAAUUAUGAGCGUCAGAAGAACUUUGUUGAUAAGGCGUGGGCGCGUGCUGUCAACUACGGACCUGUAGUUUUUAGUUUAACGUGUUUUGUAAUUUUGGUUAUUUUUGUAAUUACGAAUUUAAUAUUUCAGAUAUUAGUAUUUUAUUUUAAAUAGAAUUCUAGAGGAGAAGAGAGAGAGAGAGUAUUUAAG